rnacentral:lncRNA from 1 species
GACAUAACCACAGGACUUCCCUCCCAUGAUCAGGCAAAACCAUUAAUUAGAUUCAGUAGUCAGACACAAAAAGAAGAGAUAAAUGUAAGGGAAAUACUGGCUGCAAAGGGUUCCAGUGGGAAAGAAAGGAGAAAGCAGGAAAUGGAAGACUCUGUGACUCUCGUCCUCUCUCAAGGAGUAUGGACACCUGCCUCACAGGAAGAAGUGGGACCAGAGUAAGUCUUGUCAGUGUUGUCUGUCACAGAAGUCAUCCGGUUACUUACAGCCUCCACACACUCCAUGGACCUUUGAAGUGUCUUUCCUUUGUAAUCGAUUCUUCUAGAAGACCUGCUCAAAGCUGUAUGUCCUACAGAAAAGGGAUAAUGCCACUCUCCCCAAUAGAGCUUAUGAGUACAGAAUCUUAUGGAAGUGUGGACUGUUAUUACAUCAACCAACCCUGAGAGGUCUAUGAGCAGUUUCUUCAGGAUGCGACUAUUUGAAUGAAGCAAACAGUCUCAGCAAACGAUAUUAAGUUCUCAAUAAAAUGACUGAAAGGUG